GUGCAUCUAACAUGGGGCAUUUUAUUGCUUCAAAUUGUAUUCUAAAAUAAACCUUUAUUUUUCCUGGGAGAAAGACCAGUACCCUACUGGCCCACCAACUGGCAGCUUUCUCUUGCCUCCUCACCGCACUGGCCCAGCCUCACCAGGCCUCUCCUGGCUGCAGGACUUGCUGUGCCUUUCUCCUCACUGAGAACGGUAUGCACACGGUCCUUUCUGACCAGGAUCCUUGUUCUCUCCCUGCUGCCCAGAUGUCUGGACCAUCCACUCGGCACAGCUGACUCCUGCUUGUCCUUCAAGUUGCAGCUGAAGUCUCAGAUCCUCCAGGGGGCAGUUCCUGGCCCCUCGGGCUCUGGUGCCCCUGCCUGCACACCGCCUGUGAAGCACUGAACAGCUCUGGUCUUCCCAGUUGAUGAACCCACCCUGAAUCCUGAGAGCAAGAGAGCCCUUUUAAUGAGGUCCAGUGGUUCUGGGACUUGGGCUUAUAUCAGAAUCACCUGCAGAUCUCCAAGACCUGAAAGAGGACUUCUCAGAAUCCUGACUCUGAAUUUGGUCUCAACAUCUGUUUUCUGCAGCUUCUCUCAAGCUCAGAGUUUUCUUAUGCCAGCCUCAAACUGUGCAGAUUCUGACCCUGGGACUUGUUCUUCCCUGUAAGAGCAUCCCUUUGAGCCUGAGGUGUGGACACUGUCUUUGAUUCUUAAGCAUUUAAAAAAUUUUUAUUGGAGUAUAUAGUACUUGAUUUACAAUGUUGUGUUAGUUUCAGGUAUACUUGAUCUUUUAUUUUUUAUUUAUAUUUUGUCCAAAUUUAUGACCCAAAUACUUCAGAAAUUUUUCUUUUGAAAAAAGUAAUUCUCAGUAUGGAUAUUUUCUUUUUUAAAUCUCUAAAUGGUUAAACAAAUGCCUACUACAUGACUUUUUUGGAGAUAUACAAAAAAUGUUUGCAUCUCAAUGGAAAAUAUGCAUUGACUACUGCAUACCCUUUUGAGUUAUCAGAUUAUAGC
ensembl:lncRNA